GAGGGUAUAGCUCAGUGGUAGAGCGCGUACUUAGCAUGCACGAGGUCCUGGGUUCAAUCCCCAGUACCUCCA
rfam:Camelus ferus unplaced genomic scaffold scaffold190, whole genome shotgun sequence.